rnacentral:rRNA from 1 species
AUGGCUCCGCCGCUCUCCGCCGCCCUCCGCCGCCACCUCCUCCCCCACCGUUUCCCCCUGCUUCCCUCCCGCCACGUUAGCCUCUCCACCAGCCACUCCUCCUCCGACCAAAGCGACCUCGAGUACGUUCACCCUAUCCCCCCUGCCCCCGACGACGACGGCGAGCUCACCUCCUUCCUCCGUCGCAUCUCCCACGCCUCCUCCGCCGCGUCUUCCCCGAAGGACGCCCUCUCCCUCCUUCUUUCCUCCUCUUCUGGCCCAUCGCCGUCCCCUCCCUCCUUCGUCCGCGCGGUGUGGGAACUGCGCCGCGACCCGGAGGCAGCAGCGCUCGCGCUUCUCUGGGGCGACGAGUGCAGCGCCACGUCCGGCGCUGAGGGGGCGGGGUCCCUGCCGGCCGAGGCGUGGUACCUGGCCAUAUGGUCUGCGGGGAGGGCUGGGCGGUUCGACCUGGCGUGGGCGGCCGUGCGGUGGAUGCAGCGCCGUGGGGUGCUGACCCGCCGUGCCAUGGUCAUCUUGAUGGAGAGGUAUGCAGCUGCCAAUGAAGUGAAGAAAGCAGUCAAGACCUUUGAUGUGAUGGAGAGGUUUAAAGUGGAAGUGGACCAAACUGUAUUCUAUUCCCUUCUUCGUGCUCUUUGCAGAAGUAAAAACAUAGAAGAUGCUGAAGAGUUGCUUCUUGCAAGAAGGAAAUUUUUCCCACUCACGGCCGAAGGUUUCAAUAUAAUACUUGAUGGUUGGUGUAAUAUCUUCACCGAUGUGGCCGAAGUAAAGAGGGUUUGGCGAGAAAUGUCAAAUUGCUGCAUUACUCCUGAUGGUACAUCUUAUGCUCUCAUGGUCUGUUGUUUCUCAAAGGUAGGGAACCUUUUUGAUACUCUGAGGGUUUACGAUGAGAUGAAGAAGAGGGGUUGGACUCCUGGUAUUGGUGUCUAUAACCAACUUAUUUAUGUUCUGACAAGAGAGAAUUGCAUGAAGGAUGCAAGAAAUGUUCUCAGUAAAAUUGUGGAUGAAGGUCUCCAACCGGAUGUUGAAACAUACAACAGUAUUAUAGUUCCACUUUGUGAAAGUUGCAAGCUUGAGGAAGCACGAGAGGUAAUGGAAGACAUGACAAUGAAAGGCAUUGUUCCAACCAUUUCGACGUACCAUGCAUUUUUGAAACAGGAAGGCAUUGACGAAACACUGCAGCUACUGAAGAAAAUGAAAGAAGAUGGCUGUGGCCCUAACAGCGACACAUUUCUCAUGCUCAUUGAUAAGUUUAUCCAAUUGAAUGAGUCUGGGAAUGCUCUGAGGGUGUGGACUGAAAUGCGAAGAUACGACAUUAGGCCUGGUUAUGCACACUACAUGGCAGUGGUCCAAGGUUUGGUUAAACAUGGAUGCAUACCACGAGCUUUAGAGUAUUAUGAUGAAAUGAAGGCAAAUGGUUUUGCUUCGGACCCAAUACUUGAUAAGGAAUUCAGAACUUUUCUAUUGGCCAACAGAGACCAUUGGAGAGGAGCAGGCAAAUACAAUCUUAUUCCACAGCAUAGCAAACAUUCUACAAGACGGACAAGAAUUCCGUAA